UACAUGUGGGGCAAGCGUUGUUCGGAAUUACUGGGCAUAAAGGGUGCGUAGGUGGCUUGUUAAGUCAGGGGUGAAAGUUUUCGGCCCAACCGGAAAAUGGCCUUUGAUACUGGCGAGCUCGAGUGCGUGAGGGGUAACCGGAACGAGCAGUGUAGCGGUGAAAUGCGUAGAUAUUGCUCGGAAGGCCAACGGCGAAAGCAGGUUACUGGUGCGCAACUGACACUGAGGCACGAAAGCGUGGGGAGCAAACAGG
rnacentral:rRNA from 1 species